ACGAACGCUGGCGGCGUGCUUAACACAUGCAAGUCGAACGUGAUUUUUGUGGAAAUUCUUUCGGGAAUGGAACUGAAAUGAAAGUGGCGAACGGGUGAGUAACACGUGAGCAACCUACCUUACACAGGGGGAUAGCCGUUGGAAACGACGAUUAAUACCGCAUGAGACCACAGAAUCGCAUGAUAUAGGGGUCAAAGAUUUAUCGGUGUAAGAAGGGCUCGCGUCUGAUUAGCUAGUUGGAAGGGUAAAGGCCUACCAAGGCGACGAUCAGUAGCCGGUCUGAGAGGAUGAACGGCCACAUUGGAACUGAGACACGGUCCAAACUCCUACGGGAGGCAGCAGUGGGGAAUAUUGCACAAUGGGGGGAACCCUGAUGCAGCGACGCCGCGUGAGCGAAGAAGGUUUUCGAAUCGUAAAGCUCUGUCCUAUGAGAAGAUAAUGACGGUAUCAUAGGAGGAAGCCCCGGCUAAAUACGUG
rnacentral:rRNA from 1 species